rnacentral:rRNA from 1 species
AUUGAACGCUGGCGGCAGGCCUAACACAUGCAAGUCGAACGAGUGGCGGACGGGUGAGUCAUGUUUGGGAACCUCCCCUAUGGAGGGGGAUAACUACGGGAAACGGUAGCUAAUACCGCUUAGCAUCGGCUGAGCCCAGGUGGGAGUAGGUAGUUGGUGGGGGAAAGGCUCACCAAGGCGACGAUCCCUAGCUGGUCUGAGAGGAUGACCAGCCACACUGGAACUGAGACACGGCCCAGACUCCUACGGGAGGCAGCAGUGGGGAAUAUUGCGCAAUGGGCGCAAGCCUGACGCAGCAAUGCCGCGUGAAUGAAGAAGGCCUUCGGGUUGUAAAGUUCUUUCGGAAGGGAGGCGGUACCUACAGAAGAAGCACCGGCUAACUCCGUGCCAGCAGCCGCGGUAAUAC